UACGAAGGGGGCUAGCGUUGUUCGGAGUUACUGGGCGUAAAGCGUGCGCAGGCGGUGUUGUAAGUCGGGUGGGAAAUCCCCGGGCUCAACCUGGGAAUUGCGAUGGAGACUGCAAGGCUAGAAUCUGGCAGAGGGGGGUAGAAUUCCACGUGUAGCAGUGAAAUGCGUAGAGAUGUGGAGGAACACCGAUGGCGAAGGCAGCCCCCUGGGUCAAGAUUGACGCUCAUGCACGAAAGCGUGGGGAGCAAACAGG
rnacentral:rRNA from 1 species